GCCUCCUGUCCCAACAGAACCCCAGGCAGUUGAUGAUGGGGAUGAAGAAACAGUUUCUGCUGCCACAGAGAGGCCUACAGAGAGUGUGGAAGAACAGCAGGAGGAAGGUCCAUCGACUUCUGGUGCACAGAUGAACACAGUUCAGUGAUUUUCAGUAAAUGCCACAGUUUAAUUAUGUAGAAUUUGUUUAGAACUACAUGAUGUAAC